rnacentral:rRNA from 1 species
CAUAUCAAUAAGCGGAGGAAAGAAACCAACAGGGAUUGCCUCAGUAACGGCGAGUGAAGCGGCAACAGCUCAAAUUUGAAAUCUGGCCUCCUCCGGGGGUCCGAGUUGUAAUUUGCAGAGGGUGCUUUGGUGGUGGCGGCGGUCUAAGUUCCCUGGAACAGGACAUCGCAGAGGGUGAGAAUCCCGUACGUGGGCGCCUGCCACCUCCGUGUAAAGCCCCUUCGACGAGUCGAGUUGUUUGGGAAUGCAGCUCUAAAUGGGAGGUAAAUUUCUUCUAAAGCUAAAUACCGGCCAGAGACCGAUAGCGCACAAGUAGAGUGAUCGAAAGAUGAAAAGUACUUUGGAAAGAGAGUAAAAUAGCACGUGAAAUUGUUGUAGAGGAAGCGCUUGCAGCCAGACUUCCCCGUAGUUGCUCACCCGGGCUCUUGCCCGGGGCACUCUUCUGCGGGGAGGCCAGCAUCAGUUUGGGCGGUCGGAGAAAGGCCUCUGUCACGUAUCUCCCUCCGGGGUGACCUUAUAGGGGAGGCGCAAUGCGACCAGCCCGGACUGAGGUCCGCGCAUCUGCCAGGAUGCUGGCGUAAUGGCUGUAAGCGGCCCGUCUUGAAACACGGACCAAGGAGUCUAACAUCUAUGCGAGUGUUUGGGUGUCAAGCCCGGGCGCGCAAUGAAAGUGAACGGAGGUGGGAACCCUCGGGUGCACCAUCGACCGAUCCUGAUGUCUUCGGAUGGAUUUGAGUAAGAGCAUAGCUGUUGGGACCCGAAAGAUGGUGAACUAUGCUUGAAUAGGGUGAAGCCAGAGGAAACUCUGGUGGAGGCUCGCAGCGGUUCUGACGUGCAAAUCGAUCGUCAAAUUUGGGCAUAGG